rnacentral:rRNA from 1 species
GAUAGAGUCUUCCCCUUCGGGGGACAAAGUGACAGGUGGUGCAUGGUUGUCGUCAGCUCGUGUCGUGAGAUGUUGGGUUAAGUCCCGCAACGAGCGCAACCCUUAAGCUUAGUUGCCAGCAUUAAGUUGGGCACUCUAAGUUGACUGCCGGUGACAAACCGGAGGAAGGUGGGGAUGACGUCAAAUCAUCAUGCCCCUUAUGAUUUGGGCUACACACGUGCUACAAUGGACAAUACAAAGGGCAGCUAAACCGUGAGGUCAUGCAAAUCCCAUAAAGUUGUUCUCAGUUCGGAUUGUAGUCUGCAACUCGACUACAUGAAGCUGGAAUCGCUAGUAAUCGUAGAUCAGCAUGCUACGGUGAAUACGUUCCCGGGUCUUGUACACACCGCCCGUCACACCACGAGAGUCUGUAACACCCGAAGCCGGUGGAGUAACCAUUUAUGGAGCUAGCCGUCGAAGGUGGGACAAAUGAUUGGGGUGAAGUCGUAACAAGGUAGCCGUAUCGGAAGG